UUUUGCCUGCUUGGUGCGUGACGUAUCCUUUUGGACCCACAUUUUUUUAUUGGGAUGCCAGACUUCAUGGCUGGUGUGCAGACCUCCCGCCUGCGCUUUGACGUACGGUGGACGUUGGGAGCUAGUAAGGUCAUGAGCAGCAACCCACCUGCCAUUCGUGCAGGUCAUAAUUGGAUGCGCACGGCCAAAGCGGGUCUUAA
rnacentral:other from 1 species